GUUUUAAAAAUUACCUGGUGGAAGAACUUCCGGCAGCGGCAGCUCCAGUGGCCAAGGCAAGAUGGGUCAAAGUCAGAGUGGUGGUCAUGGUCCUGGAGGUGGCAAGAAGGAUGACAAGGACAAGAAAAAGAAAUAUGAACCUCCUGUACCAACUAGAGUGGGGAAAAAGAAGAAGAAAACAAAGGGACCAGAUGCCGCCAGCGAAUUGCCACUGGUGACGCCUCACACUCAGUGCCGGUUAAAAUUACUGAAAUUAGAGAGAACUAAAGACUACCUUCUCAUGGAGGAAGAAUUCAUUAGAAAUCAGGAACAAAUGAAACCAUUAGAAGAAAAGCAAGAGGAGGAAAGAUCAAAAGUGGAUGAUCUGAGGGGCACCCCGAUGUCAGUAGGAACCUUGGAAGAGAUCAUCGAUGACAAUCAUGCCAUCGUGUCUACAUCUGUGGGCUCAGAACACUACGUCAGCAUUCUGUCAUUUGUAGACAAGGAUCUGCUGGAACCUGGCUGCUCAGUCCUGCUCAACCACAAGGUGCAUGCCGUGAUAGGGGUGCUGAUGGAUGACACGGAUCCCCUGGUCACAGUGAUGAAGGUGGAAAAGGCCCCCCAGGAGACCUAUGCCGAUAUUGGCGGCCUGGACAACCAAAUUCAGGAAAUUAAGGAAUCUGUGGAGCUUCCUCUCACCCACCCUGAAUAUUAUGAAUAUAGAGACGGGUAUAAAGCCUCCUAAGGGGGUCAUUCUCUAUGGUCCACCUGGCACAGGCAAAACCUUAUUAGCCAAAGCAGUAGCAAACCAAACCUCAGCCACUUUCUUGAGAGUGGUUGGCUCUGAACUUAUUCAGAAGUACCUAGGUGAUGGGCCCAAACUCGUGCGGGAACUGUUUCGAGAAUGUGGGAUGGUGUCUGACUUUGGGCUGCAGAAGUGCGCUUUCAGCUGGGACCUGAAGGAAGAUGGGCAGUUGCCAGGGGGCCAAAGGAGAGUCCAGGCCAUGCACCUGUCUGAUCUGCCUGCCCUCCUGGUCUGUGUGUUUGGGCUGCAGCAGUGA